CAAGACUGAACCCCCAGUGAAUAUUCGACAUUUAUUUCCAGAAGAGACCUUUAACUUGAAAGGCUGAUUUUAUGACAAAUUCCGCCUUUCUGAAAAGGAUCAACUUCUCAUUUCGAUCAUGAAGGCAGAGGUCAAAGAAGCUUUGAGGAAGCAAGGAGGUUGAGAGCAGAGUUGCACCAGGCCGUUCAGAAAGCACAUCUUGAAGAGAUCUCCUGGCUCUAGAGGAAGUAAGGCAUGGAACCAGAGAUAACCUGGGAACUUGGGAACUUGCUGGUGUUUCAGUCCUCAGAGAGCUGAAGGAAAUAUCUGGGUACCCAGAUGUGGUGGUGGACCCACUGGACUUCCCAAUGCAUGCAC
rnacentral:lncRNA from 1 species